AUUGAACGCUGGCGGUAUGCCUUACACAUGCAAGUCGAACGGUAGAGGGGCAACCCUUGAGAGUGGCGAACGGGUGAGUAAUACAUCGGAACGUGCCCAGUCGUGGGGGAUAACGUAGCGAAAGCUACGCUAAUACCGCAUACGACCUGAGGGUGAAAGCGGGGGAUCGCAAGACCUCGCGCGAUUGGAGCGGCCGAUGGCAGAUUAGGUAGUUGGUGGGGUAGAGGCCUACCAAGCCUGCGAUCUGUAGCUGGUCUGAGAGGACGACCAGCCACACUGGGACUGAGACACGGCCCAGACUCCUACGGGAGGCAGCAGUGGGGAAUCUUGGACAAUGGGCGAAAGCCUGAUCCAGCCAUACCGCGUGCGGGAAGAAGGCCUUCGGGUUGUAAACCGCUUUUGUCAGGGAAGAAAUCUUCUGGGUUAAUACCUCGGGAGGAUGACGGUACCUGAAGAAUAAGCACCGGCUAACUACGUGCCAGCCGCCGCAGUAACAC
rnacentral:rRNA from 1 species